AACGGGCGCAAGCCUGAUCUAGCCAUGCCGCGUGAGUGAUGAAGGCCUUAGGGUCGUAAAGCUCUUUCGCCAGGGAUGAUAAUGACAGUACCUGGUAAAGAAACCCCGGCUAACUCCGUGCCAGCAGCCGCGGUAAUACGGAGGGGGUUAGCGUUGUUCGGAAUUACUGGGCGUAAAGCGCACGUAGGCGGAUUAGUAAGUCAGAGGUGAAAUCCCGGGGCUCAACCCCGGAACUGCCUUUGAUACUGCUAGUCUUGAGUUCGAGAGAGGUGAGUGGAAUUCCGAGUGUAGAGGUGAAAUUCGUAGAUAUUCGGAGGAACACCAGUGGCGAAGGCGGCUCACUGGCUCGAUACUGACGCUGAGGUGCGAAAGUGUGGGGAGCAAACAGGAUU
rnacentral:rRNA from 1 species